rnacentral:rRNA from 1 species
UACGUAGGGGGCAAGCGUUGUCCGGAUUUAUUGGGCGUAAAGAGCGUGUAGGCGGCCUGAAAGGUCAGCUGUGAAAACUCGAGGCUCAACCUCGAGACGUCGGUUGAAACCAUCUGGCUAGAGUCCGGAAGAGGAGUGUGGAAUUCCCGGUGUAGCGGUGAAAUGCGCAGAUAUCGGGAAGAACACCGAUGGCGAAGGCAGGUCACUGGGCCGCAACUGACGCUGAGGAGCGAAAGCAUGGGGAGCGAACGAGG